CCGGCGCACGGGUGAGUAACACGUACCCAACCUGCCGUCUACUCUUGGACAGCCUUCUGAAAGGAAGAUUAAUACAAGAUGGCAUCAUGAGUUCACAUGUUCACAUGAUUAAAGGUAUUCCGGUAGACGAUGGGGAUGCGUUCCAUUAGAUAGUAGGUGGGGUAACGGCCCACCUAGUCUUCGAUGGAUAGGGGUUCUGAGAGGAAGGUCCCCCACAUUGGAACUGAGACACGGUCCAA
rnacentral:rRNA from 1 species